rnacentral:rRNA from 1 species
UACGAAGGGUGCAAGCGUUAAUCGGAAUUACUGGGCGUAAAGCGGGCGUAGGCGGUUUCUUAAGUCUGCUGUGAAAUCCCCGGGCUCAACCUGGGAAUGGCAGUGGAUACUGGGAGGCUAGAGUGUGUCAGAGGAUGGUGGAAUUCCCGGUGUAGCGGUGAAAUGCGUAGAGAUCGGGAGGAACAUCAGUGGCGAAGGCGGCCAUCUGGGACAACACUGACGCUGAAGCACGAAAGCGUGGGGAGCAAACAGG